rnacentral:rRNA from 1 species
UACGGGGGGAGCAAGCGUUGUUCGGAUUUACUGGGCGUAAAGGGCGCGUAGGCGGUCGUGACAAGUCACUUGUGAAAUCUCCGGGCUUAACUCGGAACGGUCAAGUGAUACUGUCGGACUAGAGUACAGAAGGGACAACUGGAAUUCUCGGUGUAGCGGUGAAAUGCGUAGAUAUCGAGAGGAACACCUGCGGCGAAGGCGGGUUGCUGGGCUGAUACUGACGCUGAGGCGCGAAAGCCAGGGGAGCGAACGGG